GUGGCUUGGGACCGUGUGGAGAGUGCGGGCGCUGGACAGCAGCUCCGGCCCCUCACCGACGCGCAGCCCGCGCCUGGGCCGACCUGUUGACUGAAAAUCAGCCGGCGCUUGGCCAGAUGCGUCGAUGGAGGCCCGCAGCCCAGCGACGACGUGGUAGUCAUGGCUGAAGCGGCGCCUGCCCCGCCAAAUGCAGAGAAGAGCUCAUACCUCUAUUCCAUAGAAAUCACACUGUGGACCGUGGUGCCUGCUGUUCAGGCCUUGGAGAAGAAAAGUGGAUUCUUGCCUGGCCCGCUUGCUGACUCUGGAGGGAUGCUCAGGGACAGCAGAGAAGAAGCUGGCUGACUGUGAGAAGACAGCUGUGGAGUUCAGCAGCCAGCUGGAGGGCAAGUUGGCCGUGCUGGGGACCCUGCCUCAGGAGUCUAGGCUGCUGCAUGAAGAACCUCAUGGGCAACUGGAACUUCUGGGUCCAGCGGCUUCCCCCUGGCAACAAGGGGGAGGUCCCCAAGGUAUUUCUCUGAGUCCAGAGCAGGCCCCAAGUCCAGCUAGCCCUGCCCAGGAGGAACUGAAUCAAAGGCAGACACCUGAGCAGCAGCAAGAGGAAGCAACCAUGAUUCCACCUGAGCCAGGCACUGGGAUUCCAGCAAGCACCAGCCCUUUAUCACUUAAACAGGAGGAAGAAUCUGCAGAGGGAGGAGAGUUGCCACCCUCCCCUUCCACAGAUAGCCUGCUUUCUGUGGAGCCAGGAUCUUGCCAUCUGUCUCAGAAUGAACUCAUGGACCUAGAUGAGGGAGGGGAGUGACUUGCCUGUAUGUCACCCAUCCCAAACAAAUCCACCAAGGUGUGUGCUGCAGGACUCUAUGCAGGGUCCCUGGCCCCUGGCUUUUGCAGCUUGCUUCCUUCUCUGGUGUUCUUAGCUCAGCUUCCAGGAAUGAGGCAUAAGACAGCAAGCAAAGUUGAACAAUACAUGAGACACUCCUGCCCCGUGGUGUCUAUGACUAGGACCCCUGGCCUGAUCUAAUGGCACUCACAAAGACUGGGGAAGGGAGGGGAGGCCUGAACCUGGAGUAAGGCCUGGAUCGAAUGGCAGGGGAAGCCAUGAGGUCCCCUUGGAACCAGCAAUGAUUCCUAUGACCAUCAAGACAGAAGCCCCAUCUGAGGAUCAACCUGAGCAGAACCUUCUGCAGUCCUGCAGCCAGUCCGUAUUUAGAGUCCACAGAAGGACCAGGAUUAAGACCAGGGGCCACAGAUGGCAUCACACGGAUUGGGGAACCUCAGGCAGCAGAGGAUAUGGGAGAGCCACCCUGUAUCCUUCCUCAGCCACAGAAGCAGGCAUUCCUGUGCCCUGACUGUGGGCAGAGCUUCUGCUUGAAGAUUAAUCUGACAAUCCAUUAGCAGACCCAUGUAGAAAAGAAACACAAGGAGGCUUGGAGUGGCUUGCCUAUUAGGUCAGGGAAAAGCCACUCCACACUGGAACCAGAGAAAGUGGUGGUGCCAGGCCCUGUCAUCCACUGGCCACCUGAGGAGCCCACAAGCCACCGGUCUCCAACAAGCCAUGCCUUCAUGAGACAAAGGCCAGCAACUACAGUUUACCACUGUAGUGAAUGUCUUCACUCCUUUCAGCAACAGAAGAGCCUGGUAUUACACCAGCAUCAGCACACAGGCAAGAGGCAGAGCUGGCCUGCCUGUCCCUACUGUGGCAAGGCCUCCCGCCGGCCCUCAGACCUCUUUUGUCACCAGUGUAUCCAUACUGGUGAGCGUUCCUAUCAGUGCCCCCAGUGUGGCAAGGAGCCACCACCUGGCUGUCCACAUGCAGACUCAUUCCUGAGGCUAAACAAUCCUGCAUUUCCUCUUGCUUUCUGUCCUCCAGGGAAGUCCAGCCCUGCAAGGGCCCAGCUCUGAACAGGACAGGACCUGCACUGUCUCAGGGCCUUUCCCUUGUGCCUGCCAAGUGGUGGAAGUUCCUUCACUUUCCAGCUGAGUUGGUACUUUAGGGGCCCUUCAAAAGCACAAGCUCCAGACCAGGAAUUUGAGGUGAUAGUGUCAUGCCUCAAAGUCAUGAGAGCGGGUGCUUCAUGUGCCUCUUUGUCACAGCACCUUGGGGACAGCCUUGUGGAGCUUCUGGAGCUGGGUGAUGGAUUCCAAUUCUGAUAGUUUGCUCUCUUGUUUGGCACUCAGACACCAGAGCACAUGAAGGCUCCCAGGUGCCUUCAUCCCUGGCUGUGCUAUUGCUAAAGUCCUGCAGACUCUGUAGCCACUCAGAAGUCCUGCACAGACGAGGCAGAGGGUGACACUGCCGUCAUUCCCAGGGUAGGGGUAUGACUGGCAAGACUGUGGCAUGCAGCCAUGGUUCUGGACGUUACUUGCCUGCACACCCAACCGUUGUUUAGGCCCUGCAAGCAAGACAGCAGUUGUCAGUAAGCGCUCAGACUGAACGUGGACAGUAUAGCUGCCCCAAACUUAAUCCUCCGCUGCAAGCACUCAUGUUGCUGUUCUGGGGGUUCCUAGGCCUCUCUUCUAAUGCUUUAGAUGUUCUCUGGAAAACAAGUAUUCAUAUUUGAAGCACAAAUCCAAGUGCUGGGGUGGGGGAAGAGGCGCUGUAUAAUCCUGGCUCGCCUUGGGCUUGCAGUGAAUUUUUUUCCCCUACCUCUAUCUACCUACUAGGAUUUCCUUGCUUGUGCCAUUAUGCACAACUGGGCUUACUGCAUUUAACCUGAAAUUCAAUAGGACAGGUUAAAGAGUAUUUUGAGUUAAGAAUGAACAAAGGCUGCAUGGUUGCCUGAGCUCAAAGACGUUGGAUCCCAGAUUCUGAUGACUUAUUUUGUAAAACAAAGAUAUGGUUGGGUUGGUUACAAGGCCCUAAGAACCAUGGAGGUGGAAAUAUUAACUUAAUCGGUGCUCUAUAAAUACACUGGAAAAUGUA
rnacentral:lncRNA from 1 species